rnacentral:rRNA from 1 species
AGUGAACGCUGGCGGUAGGCCUAACACAUGCAAGUCGAACGGCAGCACAGUAAGAGCUUGCUCUUACGGGUGGCGAGUGGCGGACGGGUGAGGAAUACAUCGGACUCUACUUUUUCGUGGGGGAUAACGUAGGGAAACUUACGCUAAUACCGCAUACGACCUACGGGUGAAAGCAGGGGAUCUUCGGACCUUGCGCGAUUGAAUGAGCCGAUGUCGGAUUAGCUAGUUGGCGGGGUAAAGGCCCACCAAGGCGACGAUCCGUAGCUGGUCUGAGAGGAUGAUCGGACACAGUGAACUGGAAAAACGGCCAAAACUCUAACGGGAGGCAGAAGUGGGAAAUAUUGGACAAUGGGGGAAGGCUUGAUCAAGCCAAACGGCGUGGUGAAGAAGGCCUUCGGGUUGUAAAGCCCUUUUGUUGGGAAAGAAAAGCAGCAGGUUAAUACCCCGCUGUUCUGACGGUACCCAAAGAAUAAGCACCGGCUAACUUCGUG